CCUGAAGGAACCAAACGGAUCAGAACAUGAGGCCUGCUGGGGUUCACUAAGAGUCUAUUCAGACUGGAAGAGUCUGAUGGUCCAAACUGAGUCCUGAACUUUGUGUGUGGUCUGUAUUCAGACAGCUUUUCAGCCAGACAUUUCUGUUUGCUUGUAAACAAAACCACGUGACUGAGGAUCUCUUCAUUCAUUGGCCAGGAAUUAUGAAGUCGGGGCAAAGCAACAAGAGACAGAGAUGAUGAAAGUCCCCAGCUUUGCGAUCCUUGUCGGGAUAGUUCAAUUAUUCAAACUUUACGUUUUGCUGACCAAUGUCAGGUACAGUGGAGGCAUGGUGUAAGCCGGUUACCGAGGAGACGACGGCUAAGAAGGAUCUUCAGCGGCCACAUUCAUCUUACAGCAUUCAGACAAGUAUUAUUGAAGCCCGUGACCUGAGCUGUGUUUUGGAUUUUGGCCCCUUGUGCGAUUGAGUUCGACACCCCUGCUGUAAAGGCAUGACGUAAGGCCAGCUGGAGGAGGAAACGGGGAGGAGGGGGAGCAGGAGGAAGCAGGACAAACCUGCAAACCCAGGACUGGAGGAGGCGCAGCUUUGACAAAGAGCAGCAGAGAACGUGUUAUGUAAUGACAGAGCCUGCUGCAGAACAGGCAGAGACACACUCCUGCAGAGGGAGAGGGCGCCAGACAGAGCAUCACAAAAGAACGACUCCAGGAACUAAAGCGUGACCCCCCAACAGAGCCCAGCCGAGUCACACAGACAAUGCAAACAGCCCCCUGACUACAGCAGCACCAAGGAAUGCAGCUCAACACAACAACAGGCUGCAAAGAUGGAGUCUGCGAGUGACUCACAUGCGCCCCAGCUGCUGAUGGGGGGGGCAGUGGCUGCUAUAGAAAUGCCGCUACAGACAGUCUGAGCUUGAAGGAGGCUGUCUGCAUCAGGACUCCAGCUGAUGGAGGUUACCACGCUGUAAAGUGUCUCAACAUUCCUUUCAUUCUGACAAAUGACGACUAAAGUAUCUAGAAGCUAAAAUAAUCCCUGAAAAUGACCUGCAAAAGCUGCCAAGUUAAAAGACAGACUCUCCUCUGGGUAUGGAGGCCGUGACUAAAGGUACUUUAAUGAUCCUCAAGAGAGAAUACCUACUGUUAAAUAAACUCUGAUCAUCUAUUUUUGUAGUAUUGGCAGCAUUAACACUGCUGUGUGAAUGGCUGGUAUUAUGAAUAUGAU